rnacentral:rRNA from 1 species
CCCGGGUCUUGUACACACCGCCCGUCACACCAUGGGAGUGGGUUUCACCAGAAGUAGGUAACUUAACCUUCGGGAGGGCGCUUACCACGGUGAGAUUCAUGACUGGGGUG